rnacentral:rRNA from 1 species
AAUAUUGGACAAUGGGGGCAACCCUGAUCCAGCCACGCCGCGUGUGUGAAGAAGGUCUUCGGAUUGUAAAGCACUUUAAGUUGGGAGGAAGGGCUUUAGGCUAAUACCCCGAAGCUUUGACGUUACCAACAGAAUAAGCCCCGUCUAACGCGGUGCCAGCAGCCGCGGUAAUACAGAGGGUGCAAGCGUUAAACGGAAUUACUGGGCGUAAAGCGCGCGUAGGUGGUUCAGUAAGAUGGGUGUGAAAUCCCCGGGCUUAACCUGGGAACUGCUUUCAUAACUGCUGGGCUGGAGUAAGGUAGAGGGUAGUGGAAUUUCCUGUGUAGCGGUGAAAUGCGUAGAAAUAGGAAGGAACACCAGUGGGGAAGGGGACUACCUGGACUGAUACUGACACUAAGGUGGGAAAGCGUGGGGAGCAAACA